CCCGCUGAAGGAACAUCUUCUCUGUGCUGGAGCUCUGAGAUGAGUGCAGAGUUUCUGGACCACAACUGAGAAGUUCCUUCACUCCAUUCAUGCCUUCUUCAUACCGUACUCAGUAUACUCACAGUAUGGUUGGUCAUGAAAGAAUGUAAU